UCUGCAAAGAAAGCACAGGAUGCGUUUGGAGACUAAAUACGAUGGUGGUUCUCCAAUUAGAGUCUGCAGGAGAAUCGGACCCCGCGGGACGCUCCCGGAGCCCCCGACGCACUGGCCGGGGUCUAGGCGACGCGGGAGGGGCUAAGGCUCAUGGAAGACCCCGCAGCUGAGGGAGGCCGGCAGUGUCCGGGCGGGGAGCGCCGAGGAAAAGCCCUUGGACCACGCACCCGUACAAUGGCCAUCUGCAGAGUCAGUUGUGGAAGAACGCGAAAGGGCCAUCUGUGUGCUGGAGAGCCAAAGGAUCCAGUCAAAAGUCGAAGUCCUGGAGCUCUCUACAGAAUCUGGUGUCAAUCCAUAUUGGAAAGCUGAAAGGUCUGCAUCAGAAGGCUAAAGAGUCUGCGUGGAAGCCUAGACAAAUAUCCAGGCAUGGCAAAGACUAGAGCUGAUCUGAAAAAGCAAAAGGGUAGACUUCCUUCUUCUUUCCCUUUUCGAUUUAAUCCAGGCCUGGUUGCUACAACCCACAUCCAGGGAACUUAGCAUUGGAGAACCUACAGAGAGCAAAAUCAAAGGAAAAUGUCCUCCCUGGAAGUCUAGCAAGUGGUCACAGUCAGACUUGGAAAGGAAGCUUCUUGCACCUCCUUUGUCUUCCAGCACCCCACAACAGUAACUGGUAAAGGAGAAAUGUUUAUAAGGCCCAGCUCCAUUAUCAUAGAACAAGCAAAAAGUACAACUUUGCAGCAGAGGUAAUAAAUCCAUAACUAAGAUGAUGGUCAACAUAUAGUUUUGCCCUUGUUACAUUUCGUACAGACCAGCACCUAACACCACCAACUCUUGGUUCUUGGCACCUAUUCUUCUCUUUUGCCAUUGGAAGCUGCUUCUCUCUUCCUCUUUGUCAUAUACAGUGAAAAAUAUUGCUUGCUAUGGAUCAGGUAGUUGUUGAAUUUUACCUGCAUUAGCUCAGUUAUCAUUAAUUCAGCUGAUUCUCAUCCAUUUCUGUAAGGGAAAUAUUUGCUUGCUUCUUCCUUUUUUCUUUUUCUUUUCUUUUCUUUUUUUUUUUUCCAGCACCAGGGAUAAACCCCAGGGCUUCACACAUGCUAGACAAGCACUCUACCACUGAAAUACAACCCAGCUGCCAAACAGAUUUUAUUCAGAACAAUCACAGUAGGAAAAAAGAGAUCUCAGUAUAGAAUUGGACUAGGUUCUGAAUAUAGCAUGGGCAAUGGAGAAUUUAUAGCCAAGGAAUAGGGUGGUUGGUAUUGAGGAGGGGAGUCAGAAAGGAAAAUUACUAAGAGAAACCAUCAUGAGUAAGAGGGAAUUUGGGCUAAAUCAAUCUAGCAAAGUUCUUACUGAAACUAAGCCUGAAUAAUAAGACAUCAACUACAGGGUGGCAGGACCCAAGGAACCUGAUAUUAUUAAAUUUACCAUUACUGUGUGUCCAGGAGUACAUGUGGCCAGGCGUGGUGGCACAUGCCUGUAAUCUCAGCACUUGGGAGGCUGAGUCGAGAGUUUUGCCAUGAGUUCGAGGCCUGCCUGGACUACAGAGUGAGUUCAAGCCCAGCCUGAACUGCUUAGUGAGACCUUGUCUCAAAAAAAAAAAAAAAAAAA